rnacentral:rRNA from 1 species
GAUGAACGCUAGCUACAGGCUUAACACAUGCAAGUCGCGGGGCAGCAUGGGGGUUGCUUGCAAUCCCCGAUGGCGACCGGCGCACGGGUGAGUAACGCGUAUCCAACCUGCCCUUCACCACGGGAUAACCCGGCGAAAGUCGGACGAAUACCGUAUGUUGUCCAUUGACGGCAUCCGAUUUGGACGAAAGGCUUGGCGGUGAGGGAGGGGGAUGCGUCCGAUUAGCCAGACGGCGGGGUAACGGCCCACUGUGGCUACGAUCGGUAGGGGUUCUGAGAGGACGGUCCCCCACACUGGAACUGAGACACGGUCCAGACUCCUACGGGAGGCAGCAGUGAGGAAUAUUGGUCAAUGGGCGUAAGCCUGAACCAGCCAAGUAGCGUGCAGGAUGACGGCCCUAUGGGUUGUAAACUGCUUUUAUGCGGGGAUAAAGUGGCCCACGUGUGGGCUUUUGCAGGUACCGCAUGAAUAAGGACCGGCUAAUUCCGUG